rnacentral:lncRNA from 1 species
GUGAGAUUACCGCUACAUUAGUUUUCAGAGUAAAAGCAUGAAGCUGUAAGUUUUAAAAAAAAGGGAGUGCAUUAAAGAAAAUCAAAAAAGGGGAGAGAGGGAAGCUCAUGAUCUGUGUCUGCAAUUGUUGCAUGUGAAUAUUGCACAUAGUGGACUGUGUUGCAUUCAACACGCUCCCUCAGACGGGUGUUCAUUUCAAUCUGCAGCACAGUAUCCUCAAGUCUGAACUCUGAUGAGGGUCACUUGCCAGAGGAAGAUUUUUUUUUCUGCCUCACAUGUUUUCUUUUCUUUUUUUUUUGACUUCCUUCAUGGGCAGAAGCUGGUGUAAGGGAAACCAGACACGAGCCAGCAUGUGAGGCGUUCACUGCUGCAAGACUUCUUCACAGAAUGGGAAACAGGAUGAAAAAGAAAUCCUAGGCGAUCAGGUUCAGGUACUUAUUUUAUCAGUUUGGAAGUUAUUAUUACGACAAAGGGGCCAGAACGUUAAGAUUCAGGAGGUUUUCCACAGAUCAGGCUGGACAGGAAGCCUUGUAAGGAAAAAACUUCACAAUGGGCAAAUGAGUAGUUUUUACAGAUUUUAGC